rnacentral:rRNA from 1 species
AGGCAGCUCACUGAGCUGUUACUGACGCUGAGGCACGAAAGCGUGGGGAGCAAACAGGAUUAGAUACCCUGGUAGUCCACGCUGUAAACGAUGAUCACUCGUUGUUGGCGAUACACCGUCAGCGACUGAGCGAAAGCAAUAAGUGAUCCACCUGGGGAGUACGGCGGCAACGCUGAAACUCAAAGGAAUUGACGGGGGCCCGCACAAGCGGAGGAACAUGUGGUUUAAUUCGAUGAUACGCGAGGAACCUUACCUGGGCUUGAAAGGGGAACGACUUCCCGGGAAACCGGGAUUCUCUUCGGAGCGUUCUCCUAGGUGCUGCAUGGUUGUCGUCAGCUCGUGCCGUGAGGUGUCGGGUUAAGUCCCAUAACGAGCGCAACCCCUAUUGUUAGUUGCCAGCGGGUAAUGCCGGGAACUCUAACGAAACUGCCGGUGUAAACCGAGAGGAAGGUGGGGAUGACGUCAAAUCAGCACGGCCCUUAUGUCCAGGGCUACACACGUGUUACAAUGGUCGGUACAAAGGGCAGCUAUGCCGCGAGGCAAUGCUAAUCUCUAAAACCGGUCUCAGUUCGGAUCGAAGUCUGCAACUCGACUUCGUGAAGCUGGAUUCGCUAGUAAUCGCGCAUCAGCAACGGCGCGGUGAAUACGUUCCCGGGCCUUGUACACACCGCCCGUCAAGCCAUGGAAGCUGGGGGUACCUGAAGUCUGCAACCGUAAGGAGCGGCCUAGGGUAAAACCAGUGACUGGGGCUAAGUCGUAACAAGGUAACCGUA